rnacentral:rRNA from 1 species
AGAGUUUGAUCAUGGCUCAGGACUAACGCUGGCGGCGUGCCUAAUACAUGCAAGUCGAACGGGAUUCUUUGAUCAGCUUGCUGAGAGAAGGAUCUAGUGGCGGACGGGUGAGUAACGCGUGGGAAUCUGCCUCUUACUGGGGGAUAACAGUGGGAAACUACUGCUAAUACCGCAUAAGAUCUUCGGAUGAAAGGUGCAACUGCACCGGUAAGAGAUGAGCCCGCGUCCCAUUAGCUAGUUGGUGAGGUAAAGGCUCACCAAGGCGACGAUGGGUAGCCGGCCUGAGAGGGUGAACGGCCACACUGGGACUGAGACACGGCCCAGACUCCUACGGGAGGCAGCAGUAGGGAAUCUUCCGCAAUGGGCGCAAGCCUGACGGAGCGACGCCGCGUGAGUGAUGAAGGCCUUCGGGUCGUAAAGCUCUGUUCUUGAGGACGAAUAAGCCAGGGAGUGGAAAGCCCUGGUGAUGACUGUACUCAAGGAGAAAGCUCCGGCUAACUAC